rnacentral:lncRNA from 1 species
GGUUCUACUUGUAUCUUCACAUCUUUGGUGUCAAAGCUGUUUGGGAGAAAGAUCAUUAUUGAAAUUUACCUACUAUUUAUUUGUUGUGUACUUGUAGUGAUUUAUAGGGUUUUAAAACAUUGAAGAGUCACGUUUUUAUAUACACAUAAUGUGCUUUCUGGAUCCCUUUUGGAAAACAAUAUUAAGGAACCAAAGUUGAACUAAGUGAUGUUUGAUGUCUGUCCUAUCACUAUCAGAUCUUUUGUGUCCAACCACUCGGAAGACGAAGAUGUAUGUAUUAUAAUCAUUUGGAAGGUCUCCUUUUCAGUAUAUAUUCUGGUAAAGAUAAGUCAACUAACAUUGUAUCAAGUAAACCGUCUCAGGCUUGCCUUGCUUUCUAUUCUCUACAAUCUAUGCAUCGAAUCUUGUGGAUUAAAGGUGCAUUCUUUGAAU